CCUACGGGUGGCAGCAGUGGGGAAUAUUGCACAAUGGAGGGAACCCUGAUGCAGCGACGUCGCGUGAGUGAAGAAGUAUUUCGGUAUGUAAAGCUCUAUCAGCAGGGAAGAAAAUGACGGUACCUGACAAAGAAGCCCCGGCUAAAUACGUGCCAGCAGCCGCGGUGAUACGUAGGGAGCAAGCGUUAUCCGGAUUUACUGGGGGUAAAGGGAGCGUAGGCGGCGGAGCAAGGCCUAUGUGAAAGCCCGGGGCUCAACCAUGGGAAUGCUUUAGAAACUGUGCUGCUAGAGUGCAGGAGAGGCAAGCGGAAUUCCUAGUGUAGCGGUGAAAUGCGUAGAUAUUAGGAGGAACACCAGUGGCGAAGGCGGCCUGCUGGACUAUAACUGACGCUGAGGCUCGAAAGCGUGGGGAGCAAACAGGAUUAGAUACCCGAGUAGUC
rnacentral:rRNA from 1 species